CGAGCUGUGAUCAGAAAGCUAACACAUAAGAAGAGACAACUCAUUUGUGGUGUGUAUCUUUUCCAUGAAUUAUAUUUUUGUUACGCUUGGCUUUUGACCUAA
rfam:Brassica rapa chromosome A3, whole genome shotgun sequence.